AGCACUUGUGUGUGUGUCUUUGUUAAGUCUGUAACAAAGCCUUACAGAGAGCUGCAAACAGUAAAGCCUUUUUGUAACCCAGAACUCACUGUUGAAUAUGAGAUUCUGGUGCAUGUAAGAAGGAAUAUG